rnacentral:SRP_RNA from 1 species
GCCAGGCGUGCUGGUGGGUGCCUGUAGUCCCAGCUACUUUGGAGGCUGAGGCAGGAGAAUCACUUGAACCCAGGAGGUGGAGGUUGCAGUGAGCCGAGAUCGUGCCACUGCACUCUAGCCUGGGUGACAGAGUGAGACUCUGUCUCAA